GUGGUUGUAGCUCAGCUGGUUAGAGUAGCGGUUUGUGGUGCCGCGGUUGUCGCGAUUCGAACCCGGUCAGCCACC
rnacentral:tRNA from 1 species